rnacentral:rRNA from 1 species
UUGAGUGGCGAACGGGUGAGUAAUACAUAAGCAACCUGCCCCUGUGAGGGGGAUAACUGCUGGAAACGGCAGCUAAGACCGCAUAGGCAUACAUGACGCAUGUCGAGUAUGUUAAAUAUCCUACGGGAUAGCACAGGGAUGGGCUUAUGACGCAUUAGCUAGCUGGUGAGGUAGAGGCUCACCAGGGCGACGAUGCGUAGCCGGCCUGAGAGGGUGGACGGCCACACUGGGACUGAGACACGGCCCAGACUCC